UUAAAAACGUCAUAUUUUGAUAAUUUUGAAAUAAAUCAUCAACAAAAUUUUCGUGCAAGGCAACAAUGAUAACCCCAAGACACUUUAUGGAUUCUUCUAAAAUAUCAUAAAUCGGUAAAUCAGAAAAUUUGGUGUCAAAACAAUAAGAUGUGUAUUUGAAGUUGAUGUGAAUUAGGAGUAUAAAAAACGUCGAAAACAAUGGCAGAGGAUGAAGGAAUAAUUCCGAAUGAAUUAAAGAAGUCAGUGGUUGUUCCGAUAUAUAAGGGAAAUGACGUGUGUUCUCCAGGCAACUAUCGCCCAAUAUCACUUAUUAGUAAUAUAGCAAAAAUACUUGAAGCUUGUAUACGCAUUAGGUUUUCAAAACACUUACAGAAAAACAACAUUUUAUCUCCCAACCAAUAUGGUUUUAGAGAGGGUAAGUCAACUGAAGAGGCACUAUUUGAGGUAACAAAUCAUAUUUGUAAAACUAUUGAAAAAAAUCAUAAACCGUUAGCUAUAUUUUUAGAUUUGGCUAAAGCCUUCGACUCGGUAUCACACGAUAUUCUACUUGAUAAAUUAGACGACUACGGGAUAAGGGGAUUAAGCUGGACUCUUAUAAAAAAUUAUCUUACUGAAAGAAAGCAAUGUGUUAGGGUGGAGGAUGAGUAUAGUGUUUUUGAAACAAUAAAUUGUGGUGUUCCACAAGGUACUGUACUGGGGCCUCUUCUAUUCACCCUCUAUAUCAAUGAACUUCUUUUUCUUAGUACAUCUGGAAAACUUGUAUCAUACGCGGACGACACUGUUUUGUUGGUAAAGGGUGAUAACUGGGCGAAUGCUGUGGAGAGAGCAACUUCAGAUUUUGCAGUGGUUCGUCGGUGGCUGGAAGAAAAUCGUUUAGCAGUAAAUAUUAAAAAAACAAAAUUUAUGAGUUUUAGCAUUCUCGAUAACCAUCAAAUUAAUACAGAUGUACUAAAAAUACACACAUAUCAGUGCAUAUUAAAGGAGAAGCCAUGUGCUUGCAUGGAAACCUUAAGUAGGACUCCAUGUAUAAAGUAUUUGGGUAUUUUUAUCGAUCAAAAUAUUAAAUGGGAAAAACAUAUAGAAAGUAUUAAUAUAAAAAUUCGUAAACUAAUUUUUAAAUUUUAUCAUCUUAGAAAUUGUAUGCCUCUCCACAUUUUAAAAAUGUUAUAUACAUCCUUGGCUGAAUCAGUCAUUAGAUAUGGAAUAUCAAUAUGGGGAGGAUCAUUUGCCAGUACCAUAAAUAUUUUAAACAUUACUCAAAAAUACCUUUUACGAGUAAUUUUAAGAAAACAUCCCAGAUACUCCUCAAACCGUUUAUACCAAGAAGCGCGCGUUUUUACAAUACAGCAAAUGUAUGCUAAGUCAGUGCUAAUAUUUGUCUAUAAAUAUCCUGAUUUGCGGCGACCGAUAGAGAACUUGGGUUGCUAUACUAGAAGCCAAGCAGUGUAUUCUGUUAGUGUGCCUUUUCUGACAAGAGCGACUACUCAAAGGUUUUUAACAUACUUUGGUCCAAAAUUUUUUAACCUUCUUCCAAGUAGUAUUAGAGAAGUUCGAAAUAUACAUAUGUUUAGUAGAGAAAUAAAUAGGUUGCUUCAUGAAAACUUUGAAGUUUUUGCUACGGUGUUGCGUAGAUAAUUAUUUAUUUGCAAAUUAAAUAUAGGGUAUAUGCAGCUUUAUCAGUAUAUUUGUGGUUAAGAUCUGUUAUUCUGACUAGGGCGAUUUAAAUCAUUAGUUCAUUUAAUCAUUAUUUUGGUUUAUUCUUUGGUUUUAAUAUAGUUAGUAUAUAGUAUAAUAUAGUAUAUGGUAUGUUGGUAUAUUUGGUAUAUAGUAUAUAACUUUAAGUGAAUUGUGAAUUAUAUAUAUUAUCUUCUUAAUUACUUUUGUUUUGUGCACACACAGAUUCUAAUCUAGGUGUACAUCUAUUUAUACUUUUGUGAGUUUUGUAAAAUUAUUGUAAAUUAUUGUAAAUAAAUUUGAUAAAUUUGAUCAUUAGGCCUAAAACAAUAAUAAUUAGUAUUGAAAGAAAAAAAGGAGGACAUUAAAAAGACUAAAACCUUAAAAAGCCACUAACGUUGGCAAAACAGUAAAUAAACAUGCAUUUAAGGUUAGGAUGACUAUACAGUUAUUUAGAACCAAAAAAAUAAAAAAUAAAAAACUGCAAAAUAAUAUCACACCUAUUGGGAAUCGAACCCGCAACAACAAGCUUACAAGUCAGAUACUAUAACCUAUGGGCUACCGGAACACUGAGAAGAAGUUCAAAACAUUUGUUGUUAAGCCAAGGCAUUUUAACACAAUAUUAAACUUAUUUCAGUUGGAAGAAAUUAUGUAAAUAUAAAAUUGAUUAAAUAAGAUUAUUAAAAAUAAGGUUGGGUUCAAAAUUAAAUACGUCGUUAACACAGACAAGAACAGGACUCUUCUUGGCUUUAGUAAUUUCCAUCCUCUCCAGAAGGUCAAGCUUUUUCCCUUUAGGGCAUUCAUGAAGUAUUUCACCUCCGACCUCUGGAGAAAAGUGAUGUGUGGAAGCUAACAGGUGAUUCGCAAACGCUGACUUUGUAUCACGGACGUCUGUAUUUUUAAAUUUCUCAAACAACGCUACAUGUUCUUUAACGCGUGUAGAAAUUUUUCUUCCAGAUUGGCCAAUAUAUACAGCGUCACAAUCCCCACAUUUCAAAGAGUAAACCCCUGAUUUCGAAAAGACAUUUGCCUUGUCUAUCACGCUCACUAACUGUUUUUUUAAAUUAUUCGCGGUUUUGAAAGCGAUUUUGAUAUUAGAAGUCUUAAAAAUUUUAGCUAAAUUUAAUGAAAUUGAGCCGAAAAAGGACAAAGAUCUAAAGGACUUUUUGUCGUCUUUCUCAUGAAGAAGAUUGUAAGUCAACCUGUAUUUAUUUAAGAACUUAAAGUAUAAUUUGUUAAUUAAGUAAAGUAGGAAUCCAUUAUUAAAAGCAAUAUGUUUUAUAAUAUUAAGCUCUUUAGCAAACGCUUCCUUUGACAGGGCGAUGUUAAAAAGUCUGUAAAAGAAAGAAUUGAAAGAGGCAAAUUUGUAUGGAUAGGGAGAAAUAGACGCGUAUUGAAUGACAUUAUCAGUAGUUGUGGGUUUACGAUAUAUUUCAAAUAUUAGUUUAUUAUUGAGUCUUUCUAUAAGGAGGUCUAGGAAUGGCAGUUUACCAUUUUGUUCUUCCUCAAUGGUAAAAGAAAUCUUUGGGUGCAAAGAAUUCACAAAACGAAGAAAAUUUGUCAAGUCUUCUUUCUGGCCAUUCCAGACAAUGAAAAUAUCGUCAACGUACCUCUUAUAUUCAAUGAGAAACUCCCCAAACCUACCCUUAACAAUCCUUUCUUCUAGGUUGUUCAUAAAAAUUUCAUUUAACAGUGGGGAAAGGCAUCAACCCAUAGCCAAUCCACAGACUUGUUUGAAAAUUUUAUUAUUGAAUUGAAAGAAAUUUUGAUUCACAACAAGGCUGAGCAAGUCCAAGAGGUUAUCAACUAUAACUCGACUAAGGGAAGAUUUUAAUAGUAGAGUUCUUACCAGAUCUAUACAUUCUGUAGGGGGAAUGCUAGGAAAAAGAUUUUUUACAUCCAAAGAAAUAAUUGAAUAAACACUCCUAAACUUAGUCACCUCCCUCAAAACUGUGUUUAACCAAGCUGAUAAAUGGUAGCAGGGGGAAUUGAUAAAAGAAACCACUGGUCUUAUGGGAACAUUGUUUUUGUGAAUUUUUGGAAGACCGUAGAGAAUUGGAGUUCUGGAAUUCAUAGGAUACAUCUUUUCUUUCUUAGUGUUAAAGAACUCAAGAGUUAAACUGCACUUGUCCAGCAUUUGCUUAACUUUAGUAAAAUACGAGUUGGUGGGGUCUCUAUUGACUGUAACAAAGUCCUCUGAAUCCAAGAAAUCCAACACUUUCUGAAUGUAAUCAUUCCUCUUUAGAAUAACCAAACAAUUACCCUUGUCUGCUUUUGAUAAUAUUAAAUCGUUACUUUUGAUUUUAUUUUUUAAAGAAGUUAAAUGUUUUUUGUUAAAAUUAGUAUCAUUAAGAUUAUCUGAGCCAAAACUAGAAUUUAAGAAAUUUAUUAUUUUAGCACGUAAAAUGUUCUUAUUUUUAUAUCAGUCGUUUGCAAAACACUCUCCGCCUCCACAGCCAAAGUUUCCCGUGUAUGUAAAUCCACCUUCUUAGAAAGAUUGAACUUAAGAUUUAAGUUAAGCAAAUUCUCUUCCUCUGAAGUAAAAAUAACAUCUAAUAAAUUAAGAAAUCUUUUAUGAAAUUGAAAAUGACAUUGGCCCAACUUUAAUCGGUAUUCUGUAGAAUUAAAAGACUUUAACUUAUUAUGGGCGGCUUUAAGACGACUUAACUUAUUGCUUAACCUGCUAAAAGAGUCUCUAGAAUAAACUACUACCCUAUCUCUGAACGAAUAGAGCGAAACACGUGUAGCUUUAAGUAAAUGUUGUGAGACCGUGACUUUGUGUUUUUCAUUGUUUUUCGUCUGUUGUAUACGUCGGUCUCUUUGUGAAAAAUGGAUGAGAUUUUCUUAUUUAUUAACAGAAAACAUAGAAACUACAGCAAUGUGAUAGAAAGACAUGAAUAUAGCAGUAGAAUCAUGUAACUUUACCUAUACCGAACAGUACAUCAAUAAAAAAAAUAUUUUAUUUUCGAUGGAAAAAAACUGUAUAAUCAUCUUCCUGCAGAUAUCAAAGAGAGUAAUAAUAAAAGGCUCUUUCGAAAAAGUGUAAAAAGAUUGCUUGUUGCAAAUGGCUACUAUGAAAUAGGAGACUUUUCAGCAUAUUUUAAAUGCACUGUGUCCUUUCUUAACAUGUUUUAAUGUUAAAGUUUUAAUAUUUUAUCGAUGUAUAUGUAAAUGUAGGUUUGAAUUUUAAUAUUGUAAUUUGUUUAUUUGUAUUAUAUGUUAAAUCUAGUUUUCUUGUAUAAAGUCUUACUUGUGAAGAAAAGGCACUUUUAACUAAAAACACAGGUUAUAAUUUUGAUUAGUAAAAUACAAAAUAAAUGUCGGACCGCCAAAACUCGACUGACUAAUCCUUGACUGUAACUUGAGUCCCCGCCUCGACCCUUUUUUUGCCAAGUGUGCAUUUUUGAUCUCCAACGGCUAGUGGAAUAUUUUACAGUCGGCCACGCUACUAUCUUCCACGUCCUCGUGGAAGUUUUCCAAGGCAGAUUUUUAAACCUACAUAAUAAAGUUAAUAUUAGAAAUGGGUUACGUUUGUAACCACAAUUAUUUUGGUCACAAUUAUUAACAGUAGAAGAUACAAUAUUUUAACAAACAACUGUGCACAGUAUAUAAAAUAAAAAGGAAUAGAUCGAUCUCUUUUAUUUUUCUCAAGGGUACCUUUUUUUACAAACAACAGAUGAACAGUGAAUAUAAUUUUUAGAGAAAACAGCAUUAAAAUUGUAUUUAAGCUAUUUUCUCUACAAUCUAGCACGUUGGUUUGCUACUUUUCAACUUCUUCAGAUUCUACGUCGGAUUCUGAGCUUACAUUUACCUGAAAGGCCUUUAACUUAUCUAGAGGUACGAUUCCUCUAUACUUUCUCUGCGAUCGAGAGGAACCCUUAAUGUCCUUGACAACAUAACGAUCGUGAUCAAGAACCUCAUCUAUUUUGUAUGGGCCACUAAACUUAGGCUUAAAAGUUUCUUACUUUCGCCUUGGUUGCUCGUAGGAAAAGUUCGAACUAGUACUUGGCUUCCUACUGUAAACUUUUGACCGAAGCCUCGUUGCUUAUCAAAUCUAGCUUUGCGUUUGCGUUGAUUUUGGUCAAUUUUUUCUUUAGCAGCAUUUCGUACUUCUAGCAGGUUUCUUUCGCUACUAGAAUCUAGCACGAUUUCGUUGGCUAGUACUGCGUCUGCCACUCCUCUAGGAGCAUAUCCAAAAAAUACUUCAUAGGGCGAUUUUCCUGUAGUAGAAUUCUUCGUUGAAUUCAGACCCCACCGAACCUUUGAUAUGGCUUCAUCCCAUCUAUCCUCUUCGUCCGUAGAAGCGGAAAGGGAUGCAAUAAUAGUACGAUUAAAUCUCUCGACUUGUCCAUUUGCUCGCGCCGUAGCGGUAGCAUUCAGGACAUGUUUAACACUCAAACCAACGCAAUACUCCCGAAAUUGUUUGCUCAUAAAACAAUUCCCUCUAUCGGAGAUAAUGCGUCGCGGAACACUUUCCAUAACACUUUGCAAGAAAUGUAUAACCGGUCAAGUCUUCGUUGACUGGACGGCUUUCAUAAAAACGAAUUUUGUAAAUGGAUCUACAAUCACAAUAAGAUAAUUAAUUAUUAUUGAAGUUUUAAAAAUCAGCAACCGGGAUUAUGCACAGGUUUUUCGCAAGCAACCCUAUGCCAUAUUGUUUGCAAUAAAAUUAACUUUAAUUUAAUGUAAUGUUUUAUUGCGUAACUCGAUAGGUGCAUAUUACUAUUACGAAUCACCUCCGCGCACCUGGCUGCGUAGUAACUACACAAGAAAAAAGAAGGAAAACCAGUGGAUGCAUAUUUCACAAGUUACGUACUUUCGAUUAGUACACAAUUUAAUGCGUAACAGAAUGAGUGCAAUGUUUAAAAAAAAAAUAAUUUUUAAUUAUUAAUAAUUAAUAUUUUGCACAAGAUUUUUUAGGCAACCUUUGCGGAAUACAUUUUAAGAUAUACUACAUUUUAUGAAAACAUACGUUUCAUCCCGUAACGUUAUGGGUGAAGGUCGUAGUAUGGUGGGAUCCUCUACUAUUAUUGUAGAGACAUGAAAGACAACUAGAAAUAUACUUCUUUGUAUAUCUCCUCAUUCCACCAAAACAGUACGAUUUUGACAUGGCAGACAAUGUCUUCCUAUAGAUAAAUGGCCUCCUGCAUCGUGGAAAUGAAGUAGUGUCUGUCUUCUUACAGAUUUAGGUACAAGCCACUUUUUACCUUGUGGAGUUACUUUGUAUAGCCUGUUGUCAGUCAGACAGUAUUCUUUAUGGAUAUCUUUUUCCUCCUUGUCGGAAGGUGUCCUAUUUAGAACGUCCAACAGAUAUCUACAUCUGUCGUCAGAGUUUUGAGCAGCUAACACCCAAUCUUCGUGAUUAAUAUUUACGACAUGUAGAGUACACUCUACGGGAUUACGUCUUAAAGCGUCUACGUGACUGAUUUGUGUACCCUUUCGAUAUUCGACGUCAAACGAAUAUUCUUGUAGGCUUAGCCACCACCUAGCUAUUCUUGGCACUAAAUCUCUUCUGCUUAGCGAAGCCCUAACGGCACUGCAAUCAGUUAUGACCUUCAAUUGUAUUCCAAUUAGAUAAAUCCGGAAAGCCUUCAAGGUAUACACCACUGCCAUAGUCUCCAAUUCGUAGGAAUGAUAUCUUUGCUCUUCCUUAGUGGUUUGCUUGGAAUAGUACAUCACAGGUUUCAUGGCUCCAUUAAGCUGUUUUUGAAGUAAUAUACCUCCUAUGCCCUGGAUACUAAAAUUGUCUUAAGAGUGUUGAAAGCUCUACUUUGUUCAACAUCCCAGACAAAUUUAGUAUGCUUUUUAGUCAAGAAGUUAGAGGUCUAGCGAUCGUAGCAUAGUACGCACUUCCUAAAAUAUCCUGCCAAUCCCAAAAAUUGACGCACAGUUUUAACAUCUGAGGGAACCGGAAAGUUACUCACUGCUUCAGUUUUUCCUUUUUCUGGCUGAACACCCUCUUUGGAAAUCUCAUGGCCUAAGUACUUCACCCUUUCUUUGAAGAAAUGACAUUUUGACAGCCUCAGAGUAAGACGUUCUAGCAUAAAGUUCCAACCAUAGGACUAUUAGUAGUUUACUAGCUAACUUAAAGGUAUCCAAAAUAGGUACUAAAGGAAGUAAUCUAAAAAAAUUCCAUAUUUGGAAAUAGUUAAGAAUGAAUCUGCGAGUAAUAAAUACUCCUUAUAUUAUCCAAUGAAAAAUGUGUACGAUGCCUUAUAAUAAAACCAAGCAUUUUUGAUGAUAUUGAUUAAAAUAUAGAUUCUUUUGAAAAAUUAGCCCUGUUACUUUGGUUACAUAUUUUAACUGUUACGCAUCAAUACGAGGAGCCUCUUAUAAAAUCUACUAAAACAACACUUUAAUACAUUCAGACUAUUUUUGAAGGUGGUAGACAAUGGUACAGUGAAAACAUCUUGUCGAACUUGCAUUGUCUUAUUUAUUUAAUGUAACACGAGGUUUCGGUUGUUAAGUAUCUCCAACCGUUAUCAAGUGUAAACUGACGAUUGACUGACGAACUGAGUCAGUUUACACUUGAUAACGGUUAGAGAUACUUACCAACCAAAACGUCGUGUUACAUUAAAUAAAUAAGACAAUGCAAGUUCGACAAGAUGUUUUUCACAUUCAGACUAAGCUCGUUAUCCCUACAGCAAUCAGCAAGUCUUGCUGGUUGUUGUAUUUUAGUCUUGCUGCAGAAGUAUCUGAUCCCCUUAACAAUUAGUUAUUUCAUAAGUUUAUAAUUUCAUAAUUUUAAAAGCUCGAUAAAAUACCAACCAUGAGACACCCCUGAUAUAAAAGAUAACAUAUGAAAACUAACAAUCCAACCAAUCAACUCGAUCCUUUGGAAAUUGUGUCAACGUUUAAUGUUCUCCAAGACAUCGAUUAGCCUAUAACUAACCUAACAUCACUUAUCAAGCUAUUAAAGCGUUUUGGAAUAGAAGACUAAAUGCAGACACUUCUGUAGUUUCUGACCAGAUUCUUUGGCCCAUUCUUUAAAACUGGCAUUACAAAACUGUUCUUCCAUCUAUCAGGAAAUACAGAAAUUUUCAAUGACAUACUAAACUAUAUGUGAAGUUGUAUUUGCCAUUGUGCAAAUACAUUCUUUUUGAAAGACAUUCAGUAUACCCUCAGUGAGUGAAUAGUUCUGAGGCAUGUUUUCUGCUAACAUAAAAGAAUUUAAGUUUUUUUGAAUGUACAGAGAACACUGCAGAAUAUAAAUAGACAUAAAUGUAAGCACCUUUAGACUGAAAAAUAGUCGACGAUACGAUUCUUUUAAGCAUUUAAAAAGCAUUAUUUUAUUUUUUUGCGCCAUUGGUACUGCAAUAUUCUGAUGCAAUUACCCUAGGAUGUCAUAAUUUAACCUUGAAUAAAAAUAAGACAUAACAAUUUCUUUGUCAACAACACCUCUCAGUUUCCAAAUAAUGAAGUUAUGAGUAGCUUACCUACUACAAGAUCAAUGUGAUCUGACCAACUUAGCACACUAUCAAUCAUAAUUCCCAGAAGCCUGUUUGGGCUCGCCUGACUUACAUCACCAGUAAACGGCAACAACUGAGUUUUACUCAGAUUUAAUAGAAACUUCUAAUAAUCUUUGCAAAAAUAAAGCACCUGCUUAAUGCAUAAUCUAUGCUAAAGUAUUAAUUGGUCAAUUGGAGUUAAUGGUUAUUAGAGAGUCUAUCCUUGCAUGGGUUUACAGCUUUUUAUCUGGGAGGUUGCUAUGUGUGAGAGUCGGUGGAUCUUUAUCGUUGUGUGAUUGCGGUCACUUCUGGGGUACUGCAAUGCCUCUCCUUGUUGUUUUUGCUCUUUCCUACUAACAUCAGCUAUAUAAUUCGUUCUAAUCAUCUUUAAUUUACAUAUGAUAUUAAACUUCUUAAAGCAAUUUUAUCUAGGCAAGACUCUUACCCUUCAAUUGGAUUUGGACCAUUUGUCUUUGUGGUCUUCAGAUAAUGGUUUGCAUUUGACACUACUAACUAUUGUAUCAAAUAGUUCAGUAGCAUAUUACUCGUAGUAGGAAUUUUCUUGAUUUUGUCUUAAGUGUUCAGCAUCGUGUGGUCACUUGAUUACCAGUGCCAUAUUGAUUUGUUAGAGUUAAUUUUUAAUAUAUUUUUAUGUGUAAUUAAAGUUUUCCCGUUAAUAAAUAAAUAAAUAAAUAAAUAAAUAAGUACAAUGGAAUUUUUGAUAUAAUACAACAGAAUUCAUAUCAUCAGCAUAUAAAAUAUUUGAGCUUAUUCAAAGAGACUGGGUCUUAUUCAAAGAGACUUCUGUCCUAAUACACUUCCCUGGGAAACCCUUCUAACAAUAUCUGCCAAAUCGGAAUGAUAUUCCUGGCUGCCUCUUGAUAAAACCAACCCAAUUUAUUCCAGUAGAAUACUUUUCAGUUCAUAAUUCUCCAGUUUUUUUAAUAAAAUACAACGAUUCACCAACACAAAUGCUUAUGAAUAAUCAAGGAAGAUUCCCAUCGUAAUAAAUUUGUCAUCUAAUCUAAAACUCUUGAAGCGGAGAAGGAUAUCCUGUGUCUAAAAUAGAAAUGCUAGCAGUAACUUAAAAGAUUUGACGAUUUCAAAUCUUCAAUCAAAAUCUACAAACUGCUUAGCAGAAGCGAAUUUCAACCCACGAGCAAAAUCAAAUGUACUAAUUUAUGGUGAUUCUAGUGCCAGAGGUUUCUCUUCUCUUCUCUCAGGUAUUCUGAGCUCGUCAUACAACACCUGUGGUUAUGUGUUUAGUAAUGUUACAGCCCAGACCUUAUGUAAUUAUACGUUUCCGCUAAUUGUUAACUAUACGAAGAAUGAUGUUGUUGUUGUUUGUCUUGAUUUUUCUUGUACAUUGCCAUCUUUUUCCCAAAUAAAAUCCUUGCUAUCAAUGGGCAGGAUAACUAAUGUAAUUGUUUGUAUUAAAUGCGAUUUUAAUAAGUGCUCAAAAAGCAGAUAUUACAAUACAAUUCAUUUUAUGAAUUCUUUUAUCUCUAACCGUAACUUUUCUGUGAGAAUAAUUACUGAGUCAGACAAAAUUUUAAGUACCGUCACUCUGCCAAAUCUAUGUGCAAACUUUUAUCUUUAUAUGUUAAAAUACUUUUCUAUCAUCCAAAUUAGUAUUAGCAUCUUUAGGUAUUAGCAAUAGUCGGAUAAUCAGCGAUACACCCUUGAUCGAAGGUAGGUCUUCGGUUACGCCUCAACUAGACCAAUCUAUAGACACCCUUGCUAUUGGAUCUUCUUUUUUAAUAGAAACUCCCACCAUAAUCAAGUUUCCCUAGCAU